GAUGAAGAACGCAGCGAAAUGCGAUAAGUAAUGUGAAUUGCAGAAUUCAGUGAAUCAUCGAAUCUUUGAACGCACAUUGCGCCCCCCAGUAUUCUGGCGGGCAUGCCUGUUCGAGCGUCGUUUCAACCAUCAAGCCCUGCUUGUGUUGGGGUCCUGCGGCUGCCCGCAGGCCCUGAAAACCAGUGGCGGGCUCGCUAGUCACACCGAGCGCAGUAGCACAUCUCGCUCAGGGCGUGCGGCGGGCUCCAGCCGUUAAAGCACCCACCUUUCGCAAGGUUGACCUCGGAUCAGGUAGGAAUACCCGCUGAACUUAAGCAUAUCAUAAGCGGAGGA
rnacentral:misc_RNA from 1 species